CUGCUCCCUGGAUCCGUCUGACAAGUGCGGUUCAUUACGGCUGACGUGGACCGAUGUCCCUGUUUAUGGGAAGCGGCUAGGCCUGCUCUCAGGGGCCGGUGGGCCUGGUGGGAAGCGGGGCGUGUGUGGGGCUGGCUCGCCGUGACCCCCGGCACUGGGAACAGGAGGGCCACGUGCGUGCCGCCCGCCGAGCGCAGGUCCCACGAGCUUCACGGUGGGAGGACGGUAACGUCUGGCAGCUGAUGACGGCUCCUGUCACCACGGCCUGAGACUCAGCUUAGGUGAUGCUCCCGUGGAGCACGAAACGACUUUCACCAGCCGGGUGAGGGGAGGGUUGGGACCCUGGGGGCUGUCUUAGCCCACUGGGUAGCUGUAACGAAAACACCUGGACCCGGCGGCUUGCACAGCACUCGCUGACUCCUCACGGUGCCAGAGGCCGGGGGUCCCAGCCGAUCUGGCAAACGGCUUGCUGUGCCCUGGCCUGGCAGAGAGUGCCGUCUCUGGUGUCCCUUCCUCUUCCCGCAGGGUCGCUGGUGCCAUCAUGGGGCUCCGCUGUCCUGACCCCGCCCGACCCAGUCUCCUGAUAGCAGCCCGUCUGGGGUUAGCAUUUCAACGUGUCGGUUUUGGGGGGGUCACGACCACACGCGUGCUCGGCAGGGGCGUGCAGGGAGCAGGAAGCCUCGGAAACGUCAUCUGGGCAGAGUCAGAACACGCUUCAGCAGCGACUUCCGCGGUGGACACCAAUGACUUUAGAGGGCGCUGGGCCAAGAGGCCUGGCACGGGGAGAGGUCUGCCCAGACCAGUGAGUCCCGGCAGAGGGCCAGGAGGGCACGGGUGUGCCGCUCAGCACGGACAGAACCUGUCUCCGUUCUACAGGUAGAACCUGGGCUCGAGACGGGACCUUACGAAGGGACGAUUUCCUCCCCGGAGGGGGUCCUCACCAGGGUGGGGGGCACUGCCAGCCUCGUCUGGAUCGUUGUGCUUCUCGGACCUCAUGCCUGCCGCCUACGAGGGCAGACGGACCCAGACAGACCCAGAUACGGAGGCUUUCAGAAGUCCGGAGGAGGGGGCUCAGCCCAGAAACAGGGUCCCCCUGGAUUGCCCCCAAAUGUGCAACCUUGAUGAUCCACGCACACUCUGGCUUAUGAAGUCUGGGGGGUCCCCUGCUUUGGUCUCGCCGACCUAGCUCACCAGAACCCACAACCCACGGGGUCCCUGGAGGGGCUGACGCCUGCUUGGACGUCUGCCUCGGGGGUGGGUCCUCUGCAGUUGCUGGCCUCACAGUUCUCUGUGGCGGAGGCCUGCAAUGGGUCAUGACCCCCCAGGAGAUACGUUCAAGCCCUAACCCCGAGCACCUGUGAACACGACCUUCUUUGGAAAUAAGACCUUUGCAGAUGUAACCAAACGGACAAGAGACCAUCAGCAUGGGCCCUAAGUAUGCAGUACUCCCAGUGUCCUUACGCGGAGAAGAAAUACCCAGUCGCGCGGGGAGAGCCGGCGGGGAUUAGGCGACCCAGCUCCAGGCCAAGCCUUGCCGGCAGCACCGGGAGCUGACAGAAGGGCCUGGAACAGACUCUCCGGAAGGAGCGAGCCCUGCAGACACCUUGAUCUUGGACCUGUAACCUCCGCAGCUGUGUGAGAAUCGGUUUCUGUUGUUUAAGCCGCCUCGGAAGCCAGCACGGGAGGCGGCUUGCCCAGCGCAGAUCCGGAAAAGCUGCUAGCUCCCCGCACUCCGCAGUCUCCCUGGGUCUUUGCCCGCGGGGAAGCCAGCCAGACAUUUGCUGCUGAUUUCAUACGUAAGUUCCCCCCGCCGACAUUACAACCUUAUUGUUCCAGGAAGGGGCUGCGAUGCCCAGGUGAUCAGGGAGUCGUCCGGUCGUGGGCAGAGUCUUAACCCUGUUUGGUCGAAAUCUGUGGCCUGGGCUCAUCUCGUAGUUUUGGUCAUAAGAAUGUAGACAAAGGGGCUCCCGGGUGGCUCAGUCUGCCAAGCAUCCAGCUUCGGCUCAGGUCAUGAUCUCAUGGUUCAUGGGUUCGAGCCCCAUGUCGGGCCCUGUGCGGACAGCUCAGAGCCUGGAGCCUGCUUCGGAUUCUGGGUCUCCCUCUCUCUCUGCCCCCUCCCCUGCUCACGCUGCGUUUGUCUCUGUCUCUCAAAAAUAAAUAAACAUUAAGCAUUAAAAAAUAAAUAAAU
ensembl:lncRNA